rnacentral:rRNA from 1 species
CGCGGGAUUAGAGUUUGAUCCUGGCUCAGAACGAACGCUGGCGGCAGGCCUCAAACAUGCAAGUCUAGGGGGGUAGCAAUACCCACCGGCGGACGGGUGCGUAACGCGUGGGAAUAUACCUUUCGGUACGGAACAACUGCGGGAAACUGCAGCUAAUACCGUAUACGUCCUAACGGAGAAAGAUUUAUCGCCGAAGGAUUAGCCCGCGUCCGAUUAGCUAGUUGGUGAGGUAAUGGCUCACCAAGGCUCCGAUCGGUAGCUGUUCUGAGAGGAAGAUCAGCCACACUGGGACUGAGACACGGCCCAGACUCCUACGGGAGGCAGCAGUUGGGAAUCUUGGACAAUGGGGGAAACCCUGAUCCAGCCAUGCCGCGUGAGUGAUGAAGGCCUUCGGGUUGUAAAACUCUUUCGACGGGGACGAUAAUGACGGUACCCGUAGAAGAAGCUCCGGCUAACUUCGUGCCAGCAGCCGCGGUAAUACGAAGGGGGCUAGCGUUGUUCGGAAUUACUGGGCGUAAAGCGCGCGCAGGCGGUUUUCCAAGUCAGUGGUGAAAGCCCGGAGCUCAACUCCGGAACUGCCAUUGAAACUGUUAAACUUGAGGACGAGAGAGGUGAGUGGAAUUCCCAGUGUAGAGGUGAAAUUCGUAGAUAUUGGGAAGAACACCGGUGGCGAAGGCGGCUCACUGGCUCGUUUCUGACGCUCAGGCGCGACAGCGUGGGGAUCAAACAGGAUUAGAUACCCUGGUAGUCCACGCCGUANACGAUGAUUGCUAGCCGUUGGGCAGCUUGCUGUUCAGUGGCGCAGCUAACGCAUUAAGCAAUCCGCCUGGGGAGUACGGCCGCAAGGUUGAAACU